GACAGAGGUGCCGAGCGUUAGGCGGAAUCACUGGGCUUAAAGCGUGUGUAGGCGGGUCCGUAAGUACCUUGUGAAAUCCCACGGCUCAACCGUGGAACUGCUCGGUAUACUGCGGGUCUGAGCUGUCUAGGGGCGACCGGAACAAGCGGUGGAGCGGUGAAAUGCGUAGAUAUCGCUUGGAACGCCCAGUGGUGAAAACGGGUCGCUGGGGACAUGCUGACGGCUGA
rnacentral:rRNA from 1 species